rnacentral:rRNA from 1 species
CUUGAAUCCUAUAAGAGGUCCAGCCUGCCCAGUGACUUUGUUCAACGGCCGCGGUAUCCUAACCGUGCGAAGGUAGCGUAAUCACUUGUUCUUUAAAUGAGGACUAGUAUGAAUGGCACCACGAAGGUUAUACUGUCUCCUUUCUUUAAUCAGUGAAACUAAUCUCCCCGUGAAGAAGCGGGGAUAAGCCUAUAAGACGAGAAGACCCUAUGGAGCUUUAAACAUAAGUAACAACUGCCCAUUAAAUUUUUUAAUCUCAGGAAAUUAAUCACAACACUUAGGCACUUUGAUUACAAGUUUUAGGUUGGGGUGACCGCGGAGCAAAAAAUAACCUCCGCAGUGAAUGGAACUUAUUUCCUAAACCCAGGGCUACGACCCUAAGAAUCAAUAAAUUGACACUGAUUGACCCAAUAUUUUUGAUCAAUGAAC